rnacentral:rRNA from 1 species
AUUGAACGCUGGCGGCAGGCCUAACACAUGCAAGUCGAACGGUAACAGGAAGAAGCUUGCUUCUUUGCUGACGAGUGGCGGACGGGUGAGUAAUGUCUGGGAAACUGCCUGAUGGAGGGGGAUAACUACUGGAAACGGUCGCUAAUACCGCAUAACGUCGCAAGAACAAAGAGGGGGACCUUCGUGCCUCUUGCCAUCGGAUAUGCCCAGAUGGGAUUAGCUAGUAGGUGGGGUAACGGCUCACCUAGGCGACGAUCCCUAGCUGGUCUGAGAGGAUGACCAGCCACACUGGAACUGAGACACGGUCCAGACUCCUACGGGAGGCAGCAGUGGGGAAUAUUGCACGAUGGGCGCAAGCCUGAUGCAGCCAUGCCGCGUGUAUGAAGAAGGCGUUCGGGUGGUAAAGUACUUUCAGCGGGGAGGAAGGAAGUAAAGUUAAUACCUGUGCUCAUUGACGGUACCCGAAGAAGAAGCACCGGCUAACUUCGUG